rnacentral:tRNA from 1 species
ACUUAUUUAAUAUAAGUAGUAUAUUAAGCUUCCAACUUAAAAGUUCCUUAAGGAAAUAAGUA